rnacentral:lncRNA from 1 species
ACACACAAAGGGGUGGGAAUGCAGUGGAGACCGAGCUGGUCCCUGGGGUCAUGCUGCUUUUACCUUGACCAACACUUUCUUCUUAUCCAUGGCCCGGACUACUUCCCCCACAUAGGAGCCCUGCUCCUGCAGCAGCUGUAGCUCCUCCCGCAAUAGGCGAACUAGAUGGCAAACAGACACAGUGGUCACCUAGCUACUCCUUUGGAGUCUCCAGGACCCAAUUCUACGUGCAUGAGCUAAGCAUCACUCUUAUUAAAGGAAGGCCAAAGGAAGGCAACAACACCUGGUGGAAAGAUUGUUAGGUGAGAAACCUGAGUUCUAGCCCAGCCGCUGUCAAUCAAAAGCAAAGUAAAGCAGAGACCGCCGGCAUCCGAGCCGUCUUGGCGCGCAAGCGCGGAAGCGGAGGAUUGGGACCUGAAGACCAGGCAGAGAAGAAUUCCGGGUCAAUGGGCGGGGUGUGCGUUCUUGUGAUAUGCCUUCCUAGUCUCAACUUUCAACUUACAAAACCCAAGGACAGAGUAUUGAGAACAAUCUAGGGCCACACUCAAAAUGGCGGAAAACCUCGAGCCAGGGACGCAGGGGACGCAAGCGGAA